rnacentral:misc_RNA from 1 species
GGGUGGAAGAGGAGACCUGAUCUUGUUAGCUCCGCUAGGGGGUGGAGCAAUGGUAAUGGCCUUUGAUUGAACAGCAGCAGAAAGCAUGCCCAUUCCACUAGAUGAUUUGUUCUUCACGUUUAUCCUGAUGGUUUCACCUUCCUUUAAUCGAUGGUUAACAGCAGGAUGAAUAUCAAUAUGACCAUCACUACUCGUCUCAGCUUCAUCACCAUCUUUCUCAAUAUCUCUCUUCACAUACUUCUCAUGAUCCGAUAACGCUACAUUGAAAUCAAACGCUUCAUUCCUCUCGCUAAACCCUAACCCAAUAAACGCAUGCUUCCCUGUACCAUCUUCGAUCUUCAACACAAAGUACCUCGACGAAUCAAGCACCGAUUCCACCGAAUUCUCCCUCUGUCCCGGCGGCACGAAACAAGCUGCGAACAACUCGCCGGAAUUGGGAUCCUCUAAUCGGAUCUCGCACCGAUCCUUACAUGACACGACCCGGAGCCUACCCGACCAGAUCUUGUCGGUUUGAAGCCACUCGCCGCAUUUGUAGCCGCCGGAGGUUGGCCGAGGAGGAAUUUUGAAGACGUUAACUUCACGCACUACUAGGAGCGUGUGCUCGAAGGAUUCUUCAUCUUCAUCAAACGACAUCGUUUUGGUUGAGUAAU